rnacentral:rRNA from 1 species
GACGAACGCUGGCAGCGUGCUUAACACAUGCAAGUCGAACGCUGAAGACCUGGCUUUUGUUGGGUUGGAUGAGUGGCGAACGGGUGAGUAACACGUGAGUAACCUGCCCUCUUCUUUGGGAUAACGCCCGGAAACGGGUGCUAAUACUGGAUAUUCACUGAUCUUCGCAUGGGGGUUGGUGGAAAGGUUUGUUCUGGUGGGGGAUGGGCUCGCGGCCUAUCAGCUUGUUGGUGGGGUGAUGGCCUACCAAGGCUUUGACGGGUAGCCGGCCUGAGAGGGUGACCGGUCACAUUGGGACUGAGAUACGGCCCAGACUCCUACGGGAGGCAGCAGUGGGGAAUAUUGCACAAUGGGCGAAAGCCUGAUGCAGCGACGCCGCGUGAGGGAUGGAGGCCUUCGGGUUGUAAACCUCUUUCGCUCAUGGUCAAGCCGCAACUGUGGGUUGUGGUGAGGGUAGUGGGUAAAGAAGCGCCGGCUAACUACGUG